AACGAACGCUGGCGGCAGGCUUAACACAUGCAAGUCGAACGCCCCGCAAGGGGAGUGGCAGACGGGUGAGUAACGCGUGGGAACGUACCUUUCGCUUCGGAAUAUUCCCGGGAAACUGGGAGCAAUGCCGAAUACGCCGUAUUGGGAAAGAUUUAUCGGCGAAAGAUCGGCCCGCGUUAGAUUAGCUAGUUGGCGGUGUAAUGGACCACCAAGGCUACGAUCUAUAGCUGGUCUGAGAGGAUGAUCAGCCACACUGGGACUGAGACACGGCCCAGACUCCUACGGGAGGCAGCAGUGGGGAAUCUUGGACAAUGGGCGCAAGCCUGAUCCAGCCAUGCCGCGUGAGUGAAGAAGGCCUUAGGGUUGUAAAACUCUUUCGCCGGAGAAGAUAAUGACGGUAUCCGGAGAAGAAGCCCCGGCUAACUUCGUGCCAGCCGCCGCCGCAG
rnacentral:rRNA from 1 species